rnacentral:rRNA from 1 species
GAUGAACGCUGGCGGCGUGCCUAAUACAUGCAAGUCGAGCGAACGGAUGAGAAGCUUGCUUCUCUGAUGUUAGCGGCGGACGGGUGAGUAACACGUGGAUAACCUACCUAUAAGACUGGGAUAACUUCGGGAAACCGGAGCUAAUACCGGAUAAUAUUUUGAACCGCAUGGUUCAAAAGUGAAAGACGGUUUUGCUGUCACUUAUAGAUGGAUCCGCGCUGCAUUAGCUAGUUGGUAAGGUAACGGCUUACCAAGGCAACGAUGCAUAGCCGACCUGAGAGGGUGAUCGGCCACACUGGAACUGAGACACGGUCCAGACUCCUACGGGAGGCAGCAGUAGGGAAUCUUCCGCAAUGGGCGAAAGCCUGACGGAGCAACGCCGCGUGAGUGAUGAAGGUCUUCGGAUCGUAAAACUCUGUUAUUAGGGAAGAACAUAUGUGUAAGUAACUGUGCACGUCUUGACGGUACCUAAUCAGAAGGCCACGGCUAACUACGUG